rnacentral:rRNA from 1 species
AACGAACGCUGGCGGCAUGCCUAACACAUGCAAGUCGAACGAGACCUUCGUGUCUAGUGGCGCACGGGUGCGUAACGCGUGGGAACCUGCCCUUAGGUUCGGAAUAACUCCCCGAAAGGGGUGCUAAUACCGGAUAAUGUCUUCGGACCAAAGAUUUAUCGCCGUUGGAUGGGCCCGCGUUGGUUUAGCUAGUUGGUAGGGUAAAAGCCUACCAAGGCGACGAUCCAUAGCUGGUCUGAGAGGAUGAUCAGCCACACUGGGACUGAGACACGGCCCAGACUCCUACGGGAGGCAGCAGUGGGGAAUAUUGGACAAUGGGCGAAAGCCUGAUCCAGCAAUGCCGCGUGAGUGAUGAAGGCCUUAGGGUUGUAAAGCUCUUUUACCCGGGAUGAUAAUGACAGUACCGGGAGAAUAAGCUCCGGCUAACUCCGUG